rnacentral:rRNA from 1 species
CCUACGGGAGGCAGCAGUGGGGAAUAUUGGACAAUGGGCGCAAGCCUGAUCCAGCCAUACCGCGUGGGUGAAGAAGGCCUUCGGGUUGUAAAGCCCUUUUGUUGGGAAAGAAAUCCAGCCGGCUAAUACCUGGUUGGGAUGACGGUACCCAAAGAAUAAGCACCGGCUAACUUCGUGCCAGCAGCCGCGGUAAUACGAAGGGUGCAAGCGUUACUCGGAAUUACUGGGCGUAAAGCGUGCGUAGGUGGUUAUUUAAGUCCGUUGUGAAAGCCCUGGGCUCAACCUGGGAACUGCAGUGGAUACUGGAUGACUAGAAUGUGGUAGAGGGUAGCGGAAUUCCUGGUGUAGCAGUGAAAUGCGUAGAGAUCAGGAGGAACAUCCAUGGCGAAGGCAGCUACCUGGACCAACAUUGACACUGAGGCACGAAAGCGUGGGGAGCAAACAGGAUUAGAUACCCUGGUAGUCCACGCCCUAAACGAUGCGAACUGGAUGUUGGGUGCAAUUUGGCACGCAGUAUCGAAGCUAACGCGUUAAGUUCGCCGCCUGGGGAGUACGGUCGCAAGACUUGAAACUUAAAGGAAUUGACGGCUUGAGACGNGCGAGACGACGACGAGGAGGAGG